rnacentral:rRNA from 1 species
AAACUUUCAACAACGGAUCUCUUGGUUCUGGCAUCGAUGAAGAACGCAGCGAAAUGCGAUAAGUAAUGUGAAUUGCAGAAUUCAGUGAAUCAUCGAAUCUUUGAACGCACAUUGCGCCCCUUGGUAUUCCGAGGAGCAUGCCUGUUCGAGCGUCAUUU